rnacentral:RNase_P_RNA from 1 species
UGGCAGGAGCGAUCGGUCGCCUCGACCCGGGUAACCGGGACGGGGAGGAAAGUCCGGACUCCACAGGGCAGGAUGCCUCGUGUUAAACGGGGGACGCUGCGUUUAAGCGCAGUGGACGGAUAGUGCCACAGAAAAUAUACCGCCCCGCUUCUGCGGGGUAAGGGUGAAAAGGUGGUGUAAGAGACCACCGGGCCGAAAGCAAUGGAGGUCGCACGGUAAACCCCGUCUGGAGCAAGAUCGAAUAGGGAACCGGAGGCUGCCCGUCUCACUCGUAGCGUUCGCGCUGCGGAUAGGUUCCGGGUUGAUCGCAUUAGAUAAAUGACUGAAGCCUGGCUUCGGCCUGGUGAACAGAAUCCGGCUUAUGUCUCCUGCCAGCCG